rnacentral:rRNA from 1 species
AUGGCAUGCACGAACUCAAACGAAGUCCUCGGCAAAGAAAUCGUCACCGCCGCCACCACUACCAUCCUCUUGGACACCAUCACUACCACCAUCGUCCCGGCCGCCGCCACCACCAUCAUCACCACCACCACCGCCACCACCACCACCACCAUCCUCUUGGCCUCCACCAAGACCACCAUUCCGAAGAGAGCUUUCCGUUUGGGUCAAGAUGUCCCCACGAGUGAGCUCUCAAUACUUUCUUGCGGUUUCAUCCAUUGUGUUUGGAUUCAUGAACAUGAUAGCACGGUCUGCGGCUUUCUUGGCAACACGAAUCCUCUCCUCCUCAAGUGCAAGUCUACACUCCUCCACCUUCAACUUUCUCUCCUCCGCCACCAACUUGGCCUUUCAUUUCUCAUCCUCCAAAGCUCAUUCCACCUCGCCAUCUUAUCUUCUUUGCGUUCGGUCGCCAACAACUUCUUGGCCUCAAUCAUGGCCACAAGUUCUUCUUUGUAUGUGCCAACGUACGCAUAUCUCUUCUUUUCUUUUUUUUGCAAUUUCGUUCCCUUUCAGUCUAUUGUUGGCCUCUUCAUCAACCUCGUUGUCCUCCUCAACAGAUAUGCUCAACCUUGUCUCUUUGGAGUGGUCUCCGAAACUCUUUGGAUCCACUUCUCGUUCUUGCAUAGCUCUUUGUAG